UUUUUUUUUUUUUUUUUUUUUUUUUGUCUUUUUUGGGUCACAUCUGCAGCAUAUAGAAGUUCCCAGGCUGGGGGUCUAAUCAGAGCUGUAGUUGCCAGCCACAGCCACAGCCACAGCCACAGCCACAGCCACAGCCACAGCCACAGCAACACCAGAUCUGAGCCACAUUUGUGACCUACAGCACAGCUCACAGAAACGCCAAGUCCUUAACCCACCGAGGGAGGCUAGGGAUCAAACCAGCCUUCUCAUGGAUGCUGGUCAGGUUCAUUACCACUGAGCCACAACAGGAACCUUUCUUUUUUUUAUCUCUACUCUACCAGCCCCGCUCACCCCCACCCCUGACUGUCCAGGGAAACAAUUUAUUGACCCAACCAGUCCCAGUAUUCCUUGGGCAGAGUUCUUGCCAGACCACCUCAUGGACAGGAUUUGGAGCAGAUGUUUGGCCCGAUCCAAUCAAGGUGAGAGCAGGGAGAUGGGGCUCCCAAGGUGAGUUGGUCUCUCCCCAUCCUGGGGUGAACUGGCUGGCUUCCUGGCCUGGCCUGGCCUGCGCAUCAGUGGGACCCCAACCCACCAUCUCCAGAGGUUUCCCUCCUUGAGAUCCCACGGUGUCCUUCCAAAGCUUCCUCAUCUUUGCUUUGCCAACUUAUGCUGGUCCCAUCACCAGGUACAUUCAGAUUUCCUGGCCCCCAUCAUGCUGCCCCUCCCCGCUUCCCCUCCAGCCUUCUUUAAACCCCUCCCACUCAAAGGAACACCUCAUUCUGGGCCCCUGUUGCUAGCUGCUUAUAAUAUCUUAUAGCGCUAAUUUCCCUCUUGCUUUUAUUUCUGUGAGUUGUCACAUAUCUCCCUAAUUGGGUUGUAAACACUAUGGAAAAUGAAGAUUCCAUUAUCCACCUUUGUACAUAGUCCAAGUGCUCAGCACAGAAUACCACCUAGGAUAAGCUUCCAGUUACAUACUGCGAUGGAUUUAAAAAAAGAUAAAAAUGAAUAAGUGGUCUGGAUAAACCGGCGUGGCAGAGGAGCCCCCAUUUUUUAAUUUUUUUCCCUCCAUGCUGCAUCUUCUGAACACCAAGAACAGACUUUAAAGCCCUGGGAGCUUAACCUCCACCCCACCCCACUGGCUGCAUCUCACCCUGCACCAGCUUCUCCUCAGCCAGACCCAGGGUCCUUCCCUCUGUCCCAGCCGGCAGGCUGUGGUGAGGGCAGCGUGGGCCACCUAGGAGCCUGAGCGGUCAUGGGCUCUGCGUGGAGAGCCUGCCAGGGCAGCCCAGGAUGGGGCUGGCCUGCUGCUGGGGGCCCAGGAGAGAUGGGAGGCGUGGGCAGCCCCAGCGUGCUCUCCCUCACGUCCUUGAAGCUUCCCCUGUCCUCUGACUCAGCUCCAGCAUCUCAAUUUGUGGAUGAAUGCCCUGGUCCUAGACAGAGAGCCGAUUCAGCCCAGCAGGGUUUCUGGAGGGCUCCCAGGAGGGGGAAGCCCGGAAAAUGGCUGGGGGGCAGUGAAGCUGGAGUGCUGGCCAGUUCGCUCCAGCUGCAGCUCAGGGCACGUUCUCCUCUGCCCCCCACUCCCCACCCCACGCAUUCUUCUGGUGCCCUCAACAGUGCCCAGCUUUACAGGGCAAAAAGGAGCCUGGAGCAGACCUUGGGAGCCCAGCUUCUAGUGUCCUACCCUCCCCUGGCCUGUUCCUCUCACUCCCCUGUGUGGGUACAGAAGUGCCUGACUUCUACCAGCAGAUGGGCAUGACGUCUCUACCCCGUGGGGGUCCCUACACCCCCUGCCCCAGAGCUGCAGAGGGAGUUGAACCCCUAUUGAGCUCAAAGAGCCCCCAUAUCAAAACUUGAUAUCAUGUGAUAAGUUAACAUGCAAUAAAACGCACACAUCAGAGUUUCUGUUGUGGCUCAGUGGUUAACGAAUCCGACUAGGAACCAUGAGGUUGCAGGUUCCAUCCCUGGCCUCACUCAGUGGGUUAAGGAUCUGGCGUUGCCAUGAGCUGUGGUGUAGGUUGCAGAUGCGGUUCAGAAUCCGCGUUGCUGUGGCUCUGAUGUAGGCCAGCGGCUACAGCUCGGAUUCAACCCCUAGCCUGGGAACCUCCAUAUGCUGCGGGUGCAGCUCUAGAAAAGAUGGAAACAAAACAAAACAAAAAAACCCGCACAUAUGGUUUCACCAUUUUUGACAACUUGGGUGCAACUGUCACCCCAAUUUUACAAUAUUCCCACAUCCUCAGAAAGUUCCUCAUACCCCUUUCAACCACGUUCUGAUUUAUAUCACCAUAGAUCAGCUUGGAGGUUGACUACCUUUUAAAUCUGCAUCAGAGGAGACAUCACCAGCCCCCCGUUGUGUGAAAAGAGAAACUGCCAAGCAGCAUCCAGUUCUGAAGUUAAGGGCCCUGUCCUUCCCCAACCCUCCUCCUGGGCAUCCGCACCCCACACCUGCCCAGGUGCUACAUAACAGGGCAGCAGGAUCCACAAACGGUGCAGGGAAAAACGGAACUUGGCGCCAGAGGAUCUAAGUGAGAGCCCUGGGUUUGUGCGAUGUGAUUGGGACAAGGCACUCGCUCUUUUGGAGUUUGGGGUUCUUUGGCUAUAUGCUGGAGUCACCCCCCCACCCUGACAUCCCCAGGACCUCUGGGAGAAUUGAAGCCAAUUUUGCAGCCAACUUUGUAGGUGGCAACCAGGCAUCGAUCAAACAAUUAAUUGACUCAGUAGCUAACAUGAUCUCUGGGGGGCCAGACAUCAUGCUAACAACUUCCUUUAACCUUCAAGUCCGCGGUGUUACUAUAAUUUAUCCCCCAUUCUACACAUGGGAAAACUGCGCCUCAGAGACAGGCCCCAAGCCAAAGAGGAAGAACGCGAUGGUUUUAGCAUUGGCGUAGGCAGCCACUCCCGACUCACAGGUGGCUCUACCAUUCUUCCUCCCAAACAAUCCCGUAAUUGCUAAAAAAGAGCUAUAGCCGCCAGACAGCCGUUUGUCAACAAAGACAUGCAAUGCAAAUGCUCUUUGUUAUCAUUCCUAUCAACACAUUUUAAGAGCCAGAGAAUUAGAUGACAGUCCACAGGUUGGUGGUUGGUCUCGUUGGUCUGUCCUAAUAAAUUUCAGAACAUGACUCUAGCCUCUUCUCCCUGGACCCACAGACUAUUGCCUUUCCACUUUAGAGACAGUCCUUCUUCCUGUCUAACUUCAGUCUCGCUUGCUGUGGAGCCAACAUCAAGUUCAUCACUGGUCUUAUUACAAACCAUGAUGUGUACAAGAAAGGGCUCAUCAGCUUCUGCCCUGCAGGGCACCCCAAUGUGCUGAGGCCUGAGGGGGCUGGCUGGUCACCCCAGUCCCCUCCCUGUCCUAAGCAUGUGAGUUGCAGGGCUUCUCUGGGGAUGGGGGCGUAGAAAGGAAGGAUGAAAGGGAUCUAGAGAGGGUACCUGAGCUGGCUUUCCUCGGCUCCUUCAGAGGCCCUGUGUCUGGCUCCUUUUCCUGGGAAUCCUCCACCCGCCCCAGACUUCGCCCCAUGUCCUUGUGGCAUUUCUGCAAAGCUUGUCAAGGGAGGGGUUUGGGAGAAAAGAUAGCAAAGGGUCUGGGCAAGUCCUUCAGGAGAAAGGCCUGGUGCUUGGGAGUUUAGCUCAGGGAUACAGGCCUGCUAGUUCACCCCUUGACCUUGGCUGGGCCGAGGCCUGUCUUCUCUCCUGCCAGGGGGAUAAUAUUACGGCCUCCCAGGGCUGUUCCGAGGCUCAGAUGAUACCAAGACGGGGAAAGGACUUGGCAAAGCAGAAGCUGACGUUCAGCCCGAGGGACUGUGACAAGGCACACAGUGAUGCAGGGAAGGGCCCGGCCCCACCCAAGGGAGCCCAGGGCCAAGGGCCUGGCUUGCUGACCCCCUUGUAAGCCUCCCCAUGGACCCCUCUGGGACAGAAGGACUGUCACUCAAACCAAAGGGCCCCCAGCUCUGCUGUCUGCAGUCUGCCAGGGGGCUUCUCUGUUCACCCGUGAGCAUCUGUCAGGCCUCUCUGUGAUGGCAAAGAAGGUUCUGUGGGACAGCACAGUUUUCUGGGAGUCUCUGUAAAUGUGACCCCCUGUGGGCUCCUGUGGGUCUGUGUCUGCGGAUAUGUUCCUGUCACAGAGCAUCUGUUUUGUAAAAUAGUCAUCUAAGAUUUAUUGUAUCUGUUACGUGGAAAUGGGGUACCUUGGUCUCCAGGCAUCUGGUGGCAUGGGGAUUGCGUUAUAAAGUGUCGGUGUGGGGUUCACGGGGCUCCAAAGCCACCCAUGGCUCCCUAUUCCUCAGCAUGUCCGAGGGCCUCCAUGCCUGGCGCACACAUGCCUUUCUGGCACAAUUGUCCACUGUGCCUGCAACUCUCCUUCUCUGUUCCUACUUCUAUGAAGGUGCCCGUUUGUAAGUCUGUGUAUGUGCUAUGUACGCCCCUGGUGUGCACCUGAGCCUGCCCUCCUAAUGCACCUGUCAUUCAUUCAGUAAGUAUCUAUCAAAUGCCUAUUACCUGCCAGGCAUCACACUGGGUGCUGGGGAUUCAGCCAUGAACAAGGCAGAUGCAGGGCCAUCACUAGCCCAUUGGGCAUCUGUGUGAAUAAGAAAAAGCUACCCCUAUUAGAAGAUGCAGUCCCGUGGGUGCCUGGCUUGAUGCAUAAAUGAUGCUUUUACACAAAGCAAAAGAGCCUUUUGUUCCUGGCAGGCACAGCCCCAAAUUGAGGUCCACAGCUCGGGAGGUGGAGGUAGGGCCUGGACUUCAACCCCACUCACCUCCCUUGGCUAAGCCAGGCACCCUUGGGCACUGAAUAAAACACACCUCCCAAGAUAGCAGCCCGGGAAAACUCCCCCCUACCCGUGAGGUAACACAGGAGCUCUGUGUGUGUCUGUGCAUCUCUGUGGCCUGCAUGCGCAUGCAAUGUCCUCGUGCCCCUCUGUGUAUUUGCCCCUGCUGCAGUGGCCCUAUGUACCCGUUUCUGGGAGGCGGGGAACCUCUGUGUGGGUGUCAGCCUGUAUGUGUGCACACCCGUAGCACCCACAGCACUGAAGGCUAUUUCCUCGCCAUCCUGCUCGUCUCUCCAGAGUGACUUUCUCCACUUCCCUAAUUGUUCUCCUUUCCCAGCGGACCCCACGCUCUGUGAAGUCUUUCCUUAGCAGAGCAGCGCAGAACUACUUCUCAGGAGCGAGGAGAUCAGUGCUGGGCCCAGCCCUCCUCCUAACCUUCUGCUUCUGCCGUUCCCUUCUCUGGAAGGACAGACUGGGCCCCUCUGGCACCAGCAAGGCCCUGGGAAAAGGGCAUAGCUCUUACCUGAGGGCUGAGGCUCCCUCUGCCUGGGAAUCCCUGGGAGCCCCCAGCCAGAUCCCUAACCCUUCUAAAGACUGCCCCACGUGGAAUGUGACAGGCUUGUUCAUUCUUUGCUAGACAAGUUCUGUCCGGUCCUGUCUCCACCCCUUUGCUCAGGCCACUCUUGUGGGCUGCCCUCCCACCCUUCAAAACCGAGGGCCACCUUUGCUAUGAACAGUAGUGACAGCGACCCACUACUACUGCGUGCUCCCUGGGCACCAGCGUGGUAGAAGCAUGGAUUGCUCACGUGGUGGACUCUGGUGUUUAGACACUAAUCAUACACACCAUCUCAUGGAAAUCUCACAACAGUGUCACGAAGUAGGCAGUAGUGACAUCCCAGGUUUUGAGACAAGGAAACCAAGGGCCAGAAAUGUCUGAGACCUUGCCCAAGGUCACGAUGCCCCGCUAGCUGACCGAACCCAUCAGGACUGGCCUCGGAUCUGCCUGCCCCUUGGGCUCCCGUGCUCACAACCUCAGGUCAGCCUCUGACCUCUGCAGCUCAGUUACUCCCCCUGCUCUGAGUUCCUAGUGGGUAUCCUGGCCAUCUAAACUUAUACCCCUAACUGUUGUCUUAAAAAUAUAACUACUUUAAAAAAUACUUUAAAAAUACUUUCUGGAGUUCCUGCCAUGGCUCAGCCGUGAACAAAUCUGACUAGCACCCAUGAGGACGCAGGUUCGAUCCCUGGCCUUGCUCCAUGGGUUAAGGAUCUGGUGCUGCUGUGGCUGUGAUGUAGGCCGGCAGCUGGAGCUCUGAUUCAACCCCUAGCCUGGG
rnacentral:lncRNA from 1 species